AACGAACGCUGGCGGCAUGCCUAACACAUGCAAGUCGAACGAGACCUUCGGGUCUAGUGGCGCACGGGUGCGUAACGCGUGGGAACCUGCCCUUAGGUUCGGAAUAACUCCCCGAAAGGGGUGCUAAUACCGGAUAAUGUCUUCGGACCAAAGAUUUAUCGCCUUUGGAUGGGCCCGCGUUGGAUUAGCUAGUUGGUAGGGUAAAAGCCUACCAAGGCGACGAUCCAUAGCUGGUCUGAGAGGAUGAUCAGCCACACUGGGACUGAGACACGGCCCAGACGCCUACGGGAAGCAGCAGUAGGGAAUAAUGGACAAUGGGCGAAAGCCUGAUCCAGCAAUGCCGCGUGAGUGAUGAAGGCCUUAGGGUUGUAAAGCUCUUUUACCCGGGAUGAUAAUGACAGUACCGGGAGAAUAAGCUCCGGCUAACUCCGUG
rnacentral:rRNA from 1 species